GAAUUCGCCCUUAGAGUUUGAUCCUGGCUCAGGAUGAACGCUGGCGGCGUGCUUAACACAUGCAAGUCGAACGAAGCACUUUAUUUGAUUUCCUUCGGGAUUGAUUAUUUUGUGACUGAGUGGCGGACGGGUGAGUAACGCGUGGGUAACCUGCCUUGUACAGGGGGAUAACAGUUGGAAACGGCUGCUAAUACCGCAUAAGCGCACAGCAUCGCAUGAUGCAGUGUGAAAAACUCCGGUGGUAUAAGAUGGACCCGCGUUGGAUUAGCUAGUUGGUGAGGUAACGGCCCACCAAGGCGACGAUCGGUAGCCGGACUGAGAGGUUGAACGGCCACAUUGGGACUGAGACACGGCCCAGACUCCUACGGGAGGCAGCAGUGGGGAAUAUUGCACAAUGGGGGAAACCCUGAUGCAGCGACGCCGCGUGGAGGAAGAAGGUCUUCGGAUUGUAAACUCCUGUUGUUGGGGAAGAUAAUGACGGUACCCAACAAGGAAGUGACGGCUAACUACGUGCCAGCAGCCGCGGUAAAACGUAGGUCACAAGCGUUGUCCGGAAUUACUGGGUGUAAAGGGAGCGCAGGCGGGAAGACAAGUUGGAAGUGAAAUCUAUGGGCUCAACCCAUAAACUGCUUUCAAAACUGUUUUUCUUGAGUAGUGCAGAGGUAGGCGGAAUUCCCGGUGUAGCGGUGGAAUGCGUAGAUAUCGGGAGGAACACCAGUGGCGAAGGCGGCCUACUGGGCACCAACUGACGCUGAGGCUCGAAAGUGUGGGUAGCAAACAGGAUUAGAUACCCUGGUAGUCCACACCGUAAACGAUGA
rnacentral:rRNA from 1 species